AGCGUACACGGUGGAUGCCCUGGCAGUCAGAGGCGAUGAAGGACGUGCUAAUCUGCGAAAAGCGCCGGUAAGGUGAUAUGAACCGUUAUAACCGGCGAUGUCCGAAUGGGGAAACCCGGUGCACUUCGGUGCAUCAUCGUUAGCUGAAUACAUAGGCUAACGAGGCGAACCGGGGGAACUGAAACAUCUAAGUACCCCGAGGAAAAGAAAUCAACCGAGAUUCCCCCAGUAGCGGCGAGCGAACGGGGAACAGCCCAGAGCCUGAAUCAGCUUGUGUGUCAGUGGAACGGUCUGGAAAGGCCGGCGAUACAGGGUGACAGCCCCGUACACGAAGGCACACAGGCUGUGAGCUCGAUGAGUAGGGCGGGACACGUGAUAUCCUGUCUGAAGAUGGGGGGACCAUCCUCCAAGGCUAAAUACUCCUGACUGACCGAUAGUGAACCAGUACCGUGAGGGAAAGGCGAAAAGAACCCCGGCGAGGGGAGUGAAACAGAACCUGAAACCGUGUACGUACAAGCAGUGGGAGCCUUCGUAAGAGGGUGACUGCGUACCUUUUGUAUAAUGGGUCAGCGACUUAUAUUCUGUAGCAAGGUUAACCGUAUAGGGGAGCCGAAGGGAAACCGAGUCUUAACCGGGCGUUAAGUUGCAGGGUAUAGACCCGAAACCCGGUGAUCUAGCCAUGGGCAGGUUGAAGGUUGGGUAACACUAACUGGAGGACCGAACCGACUAAUGUUGAAAAAUUAGCGGAUGACCUGUGGCUGGGGGUGAAAGGCCAAUCAAACCGGGAGAUAGCUGGUUCUCCCCGAAAGCUAUUUAGGUAGCGCCUCGUGAACUCAUCUCCGGGGGUAGAGCACUGUUUCGGCUAGGGGGCCAUCCCGGCUUACCAACCCGAUGCAAACUGCGAAUACCGGAGAAUGUUAUCACGGGAGACACACGGCGGGUGCUAACGUCCGUCGUGAAGAGGGAAACAACCCAGACCGCCAGCUAAGGUCCCAAAGUCAUGGUUAAGUGGGAAACGAUGUGGGAAGGCCCAGACAGCCAGGAUGUUGGCUUAGAAGCAGCCAUCAUUUAAAGAAAGCGUAAUAGCUCACUGGUCGAGUCGGCCUGCGCGGAAGAUGUAACGGGGCUAAACCAUGCACCGAAGCUGCGGCAGCGACACUGUGUGUUGUUGGGUAGGGGAGCGUUCUGUAAGCCUGCGAAGGUGUGCUGUGAGGCAUGCUGGAGGUAUCAGAAGUGCGAAUGCUGACAUAAGUAACGAUAAAGCGGGUGAAAAGCCCGCUCGCCGGAAGACCAAGGGUUCCUGUCCAACGUUAAUCGGGGCAGGGUGAGUCGACCCCUAAGGCGAGGCCGAAAGGCGUAGUCGAUGGGAAACAGGUUAAUAUUCCUGUACUUGGUGUUACUGCGAAGGGGGGACGGAGAAGGCUAUGUCGGCCGGGCGACGGUUGUCCCGGUUUAAGCGUGUAGGCUGACUUUCCAGGCAAAUCCGGAAGGUUAAGGCUGAGGCGUGAUGACGAGGCACCACGGUGCUGAAGUGACAAAUGCCCUGCUUCCAGGAAAAGCCUCUAAGCAUCAGGUAACAUCAAAUCGUACCCCAAACCGACACAGGUGGUCAGGUAGAGAAUACCAAGGCGCUUGAGAGAACUCGGGUGAAGGAACUAGGCAAAAUGGUGCCGUAACUUCGGGAGAAGGCACGCUGACAUGUAGGUGAAGCCCCUGCGGGUGGAGCUGAAGUCAGUCGAAGAUACCAGCUGGCUGCAACUGUUUAUUAAAAACACAGCACUGUGCAAACACGAAAGUGGACGUAUACGGUGUGACGCCUGCCCGGUGCCGGAAGGUUAAUUGAUGGGGUUAUCGCAAGAGAAGCUCCUGAUCGAAGCCCCGGUAAACGGCGGCCGUAACUAUAACGGUCCUAAGGUAGCGAAAUUCCUUGUCGGGUAAGUUCCGACCUGCACGAAUGGCGUAAUGAUGGCCAGGCUGUCUCCACCCGAGACUCAGUGAAAUUGAACUCGCUGUGAAGAUGCAGUGUACCCGCGGCAAGACGGAAAGACCCCGUGAACCUUUACUACAGCUUGACACUGAACAUUGAGCCUUGAUGUGUAGGAUAGGUGGGAGGCUUUGAAGCGUGGACGCCAGUCUGCGUGGAGCCAACCUUGAAAUACCACCCUUUAAUGUUUGAUGUUCUAACCUGGCGCCGUAAUCCGGCGUGGGGACAGUGUCUGGUGGGUAGUUUGACUGGGGCGGUCUCCUCCCAAAGUGUAACGGAGGAGCACGAAGGUCAGCUAAUCCUGGUCGGACAUCAGGAGGUUAGUGCAAUGGCAUAAGCUGGCUUGACUGCGAGAGUGACGGCUCGAGCAGGUGCGAAAGCAGGUCAUAGUGAUCCGGUGGUUCUGUAUGGAAGGGCCAUCGCUCAACGGAUAAAAGGUACUCCGGGGAUAACAGGCUGAUACCGCCCAAGAGUUCAUAUCGACGGCGGUGUUUGGCACCUCGAUGUCGGCUCAUCACAUCCUGGGGCUGAAGUAGGUCCCAAGGGUAUGGCUGUUCGCCAUUUAAAGUGGUACGCGAGCUGGGUUUAGAACGUCGUGAGACAGUUCGGUCCCUAUCUGCCGUGGGCGCUGGAGAAUUGAGGGGGGCUGCUCCCAGUACGAGAGGACCGGAGUGGACGCAUCACUGGUGUUCGGGUUGUCAUGCCAAUGGCACUGCCCGGUAGCUAAAUGCGGAAGAGAUAAGUGCUGAAAGCAUCUAAGCACGAAACUUGCCCCGAGAUGAGUUCUCCCUGACUCCUUGA
rnacentral:rRNA from 1 species